rnacentral:rRNA from 1 species
AUUGAACGCUGGCGGCAUGCCUUACACAUGCAAGUCGAACGGUAACGCGGGGCAACCUGGCGACGAGUGGCGAACGGGUGAGUAAUGUAUCGGAACGUGCCCAGUGGUGGGGGAUAACUGCUCGCAAGAGCAGCUAAUACCGCAUACGACCGGAGGGUGAACGCGGGGGAUCGCAAGACCUCGCGCAAUUGGAGCGGCCGAUAUCGGAUUAUGUAGUCGGUGGGGUAAAGGCGCACCAAGGCAACGAUCUGCAGCUGGUCUGAGAGGGCGACCAGCCACACUGGGACUGAGACACGGCCCAGAGUCCUACGGGAGCCAGCAGUGGGGAAUUUUGGACAAUGGACGCAAGUCUGAUGCAGACAUGCCGCGUGCGGGAAGAAGGCCUUCGGGUUGUAAACCGCUUUUGUCAGGGAAGAAACGCUCUGGGUUAAUACCUCGGGGUAAUGACGGUACCUGAAGAAUAAGCACCGGCUAACUACGUGCCAGCCGCCGCGGUAAGAC